ensembl:miRNA
GGGCCUGGGCGGAGGGCACGGUGACGAGGUGACAGGGGUGAGAGCUCCUCUGUGCCCACACAG